UAAUAAUGGAGCUCAGAAACCAAUAAAAACGGGGCGUUACCGAAAAGCCAAACGAGUAGGAAAAUA
rfam:Bacteroidales bacterium 36-12 SCNpilot_bf_inoc_scaffold_767, whole genome shotgun sequence.